rnacentral:rRNA from 1 species
AGCGAACGCUGGCGGCAGGCUUAACACAUGCAAGUCGAGCGGGCGUAGCAAUACGUCAGCGGCAGACGGGUGAGUAACGCGUGGGAACAUACCUUUUGGUUCGGAACAACACAGGGAAACUUGUGCUAAUACCGGAUAAGCCCGUUACGGGGAAAGAUUUAUCGCCAAAAGAUUGGCCCGCGUCUGAUUAGCUAGUUGGUGAGGUAACGGCUCACCAAGGCGACGAUCAGUAGCUGGUCGAGAGGAUGAUCAGCCACAUUGGGACUGAGACACGGCCCAAACUCCUACGGGAGGCAGCAGUGGGGAAUAUUGGACAAUGGGCGCAAGCCUGAUCCAGCCAUGCCGCGUGAGUGAUGAA